rnacentral:lncRNA from 1 species
UUGUACUUAACCCUCUCUCCCCACAAGCCCUCCUGUCCUUCACCUAUAGCCAAGGCCAACCUCAGCUCAACCGUCUCAGCUGAAGCAACGUGGCUUUGACCUUCUACUCUUUCCCAGAAGUGAGGGACAUCCUGCUACCCCUAGCAAGCCUCCAGGCUGUGGGAACAGAGAAGAGGAGGGGUCAUUCCUGCCAUCCUCCAUCUGCACCCUCCGCCAUUACUCAUUCGGCAUUCUGCCCCCUCCUUCCGCUCGUUAAGCCUGAUUUGCAUACAUUUGCAUAAUACAACUUAUUUGCAUUCCAGGAGGCUCAUGUGCCAAAGAGAGAUGCCAAGGGGCCGGCUUUUCUGUCCUUUUUUGUUUUGCUUCCUCUGGCCUUGGCUCCCCAGCCCGGCCCCCCACCUUGCUGGGCUCAGGCUUCAGAAAGAAAGAGGCAAGGGUAAGAGGCAAGGCUGUGGGAACGAAAGCAGAGGGAGACAGGGAGGCCGCCAUCUUAGGUAGCUGGCGCCUAUAAAAUGGCCGCCUCUCCAGAGCUGAGAGCUGGCCUGGUUGGUGGACGUGGAGGGAGGUGAGAUGUCAGGGCUUUAUGGCUGACCAGGAACAUUGUUGAGUCUUCCUACUAGUGAAACUGGGAAGAGAGGAUGGAGAGAGAAGGAAGGAGGGAGAGAUGAGGAAGGGGCAGCCCCCGAAGAGAUGUGAGCCUCACACAGGAGCAGCCGCGGUAGAGAGGCCUCCACGCUGGCCUUGGUUCCAGACCCCUCCAUGGAGAGAGAAGGAAGGAGGGAGAGAUGAGGAAGGGGCAGCCCCCGAAGAGAUGUGAGCCUCACACAGGAGCAGCCGCGGUAGAGAGGCCUCCACGCUGGCCUUGGUUCCAGACCCCUCCUGAGCGCCAAUGGUCAGAGGACUUGAAGGACUGGGGGUGACGCAAAAAAUACCGGAGGAAUCAGAACUGGGGGUGUCAGCAGGAGGAGGGAGAGGGUAAGGUGUGGGCAGGCAGGAUCAUCUGCCAGUUUAGGGUGGGGGUCUCUCUGGGGCCUGUGAAGGGCCACCAUGUACUUGAGGCGAAGCUCCAAGUCAUCUCUCCUCAGCCCUGCAGUCCGGCUUCCAUCUUCGUAACUCUGGUGACACUGUGCCCUCUCAGGCCGCUCAACCUCCUCGCUCGGACCCAACGGCCCUUGCUCAGGUCUGGUGACUUUUGUGGAACAUUUCAUGCUGAUGUCCAUCGUGUCUUCACCUUUGGCCUUUGGUUCUUCUGUGAUAUCCCUGAUUAUUCAUUCUGGGUUCUCUUCUCUCAGUCCGCUGGGUUGACCAGUCCUCCAGCCAAAAGUAUGUUCCCCAAGGUUCUACUGUCACCUUUGUUUUUUUCCUUCCUACUCACUUUCAUUCACUUUUAUCACCUCAGCCAUCAGCCAAAGUUAUAAACGCUCGUUCAUUUCUCUAGUCUUGGCUUCUUAUAAACUCCAGAUUGUACCCUAACUGCUACCUGUGGUCCUGCCAUUAGCUCCCAGGUCAGAGACUGGACUGGUGCAUCUGAUUGGCUAAGCCUAGACCCAACGCCCAGGCCCCAGCUGCAAGGAGGGCCAGGAAGGUGCUAUGCUGAAGAGGAAGGUGGAAUACAAAGCUUCUUUGAGGAGCUAACCGUCCAGCAGGGGAGGCAGACACACAAUUACAUGGCAUGUGGAGACUGCUGUCCUGAAGACGUGUGCAAAGUGCUGUGGGAGCAGGUGGGGAGGGAACUGUGGGCCACCUUGGGGGAGUUAAGGAAGGGUUCCUGGAGGGGGCCAAAAUGUUGGUGAUGAAAGAUAAAGGGAAUAAAAGUGAUAAAAGGUAAGCAAGGAGUUGUCAGUCUAAGGAGUUUGAGGAAGUGGGUGGUGGAGAGUGGACAGUGUACGUGAAAGCAAGGACGUAGGGAAGAGCAUGGUGCCUUAGGGGACUGGAACAUCCAUCAGAGGGAGUCUGGGCUGGGGGAGAUGGGAAGUGGAAGCAGAAAUUCCAUUAUUAAGAGCUUUAUCUGCUCCAUGAGGGAGGCUGCAUUUGAUGGGGAUUCUGAGAAGUUAGCUGACAGCCUCAGGGAUGCUGGGUGCAGGGUAUGGCUGCGACAAGGACACCCGCAUCUAGCUGCCCACUGAGCCCAGCACCCAACCAGACACUUAACUGGCUCUUGGCUAGUUCUGAAGAAAGGAAGGAACGUAUGAAAGGCCUGGAAGCCACCUGAGGAAGAGUCUCUGCCUCUCCCCCUCCAGAACCGCCCACGCCCCACAGGAAAUUCCAUGAUCUUUCUUAUUCCUGUCUUGGGAAGUCCUUCCCAAUGUCUAACCAAGAUCUGUACUGCUGAAGCACCAGUUCUUUGACCCUUGGCUUGACAUGGUUAAUUUGAGAGGCACAGCUUCCCUCUACCCCAGGAAGGAAGAAACUGACUUUGAUUUGGCACCCACUUGCUUGUGUAAGCCCUUUCUUAGCCAUUAUCUCAGUUAAUCUUCCAACAGUCCUGAAAACUGGUGAUGCUGUCCCCACUUUACAAAGGCAGAAUCAGCCCCAAGAAGGACAUACCAAAAAGAAGAACCUACUUCACCCUUUGGCCUAGGUUCCCUCUGAGAAGCCUUCCUGGAUUGACUGAAAGAUGUGGCUAAACUCUAGCAAGUUGACCAGCUCCUCCAAGAAGCCUCUGAGCAGGCCAGAAGUAGGCACGCCCUAGCAACCAGCCUGGCAGCCCACUACACCCGGAGCCGCCUGGGAUAAGACUUUGCUUCACUGUUGCUCCCGUGUCCACAGGCUGUCCAUCCCGGCCCAUCUUGGUUUCUCCUUUGUCAUCUGAGCUGAGAUUCUCUGAGAUGGAAGACCCAUCUCGUGUCUAAUAAAGACUCUUGAAUGUUGAAC